rnacentral:lncRNA from 1 species
AAACGGUAGGCUCUCCCCAUUUCCAUCUCUGGUGAUUCCCUCUCCUUCUUCAUCUAGUAGUUUCUUCUCCCUUUUUCAUUCCCUUCAACACAAAAUAAUUUGAGAAUUUACAUACUCAAUUCACACUCUCUUAAACACACCUAAGCCCUAGUAGCAGCUGAAAAUUCUAGAAUUCCAUAUCUGAAUUUCAAAAUUUGAAAACUCAAAAACAAACAACAAAACUGAACGAACCAAAAAAGAGUUAUAAAGUUGAUUCAAGUCUCAGUUUCGCAUGCUUUACAUUCUAUGGCUCUGAUUUUCUGAUCUCAGUUCCUGUUUGAUUUGUUUCAAUCUGUUUUGCUGCUGAUAAGAGAAUCGCUGAGCUCCGUUUUCAAGUCUUCUGAAGCUCUAUUUUGGCAAAUUCUUGUUGCUUUCUCCACUGUCCAGCUUCUUCGGCUGAUUUUGAGUUGUGUUCGCUGCUAGGUAUGCCUUGUUCAUUUACUAUUAGCUGUUGGGUUUAUAAAUGGCAAUGUUGAAUUGUUCAUGGUAUGGCCAUGUUUAAUCUCAUGAGUUUAAUUAUGUUCAAUCAGCAAAUAUUGGUUUUGCUUCUUCUAUUUGCCUAUAAUUGAUCUUGCUGAUAAUUGUUAUGUUUGAGCUAAAAUUUAUUUUGAAACUUAUAGCGCAACUCUAGUGGUGCUACGACUGAACAUGAAUGUCCCCUUAAUUACGGUGCCUCUUUAUUGGUGAUAACAUCUUCUUUAAUCGUAAUUAUUGCUGAGGAUAGGACGUUAGUGCUAUAGAUGUGUAACCAGAAUGUUUCCUCUCAGAUGAGAUAUGUAACCAAAUAUAUCUUCUUUUUUUUCAAAUAAGAUUAGGAACUUAGCUCAUUCCUUGUUCAUUACUGCCUUAUAAUAGAUAUCCUAUGCUAGAAAAAAAAAUAGUAUAGAAAUCAUAAGGUUGAACCAUUAUUGACAUUGUUCUUGCUUGCAUGGCUGUACUUCACUUCACCUUCGUUUCCCUGUGAGUUACAUUCCUGUUGGAGGAGGUGUGAAUACUCUGUAAGUUUAUCCAAGCAAAUCAGCCUUCUAGACUGUUUAAUUUCGAGAUUAGCAUAGAAAUUCUUGAUAAAACAUUUUUUGUUGAAAUAGUAUUCUGAUUGCUUGUAAAGUACAGCCUCGCAAAAUGACGAGAAGGAAAUGUUAUUCUUCCCUGUUAUAUUGCUUAAAAAUCAAGGUGAAAAAAAAUGCUAUGCAAUUGUAUGCUCCCACAAAAAAAAUAAUAAAGUAGAUUUAGAAAGAAUAAAUAAUGAACAUCUAAAUUGCUUUUAUUGAGUAUAAGUUUUUAGAAAGAAAAUAAGGCGUGCCAUGUCGAAUAAAAUUUCAAAAUCCAUUGCCCUUAUUUGAACUCGUUAAAAAAUCAAGGUGUGACAUAAAUUGAAUUCUUUCAUCGCGCUCUCAAAGUUGCAAACGCGUAGUCACUUUAGGCACAUUAUUUUAAUAAUGUUGCCUUCCUAAACUCAGGUGUGCAUUUUAUGUGACCCAAAUCCAAAUAGUAAAAUGCUAAAUUAUAUAUGUUUCGGAUCCGGGUGCAUUUCAUGAGACGUGAUCCAAAAGCACAUUUUAAAUGACGUUCAAUCUUCCUUAAAAAUUAAUUAAAAGUGGUAAAUAAUUUAAAAAUUGUACUAUAGGAUAAACAUGUAUUAAAAUCACAUAUUAAGCGGCAGUGCUAGAACCACGGGAUCCGGAGGUGCCUAACACCUUCCCUCGGAUCAACAAAAUUCCUUAUUCAGAAUUUCUGGUUCGCCGACUUUACUUGAAAAGUCAAAACAUUUCUCGAUUUGGGAUUCAAGAUAAACCGAUGACUUGGGACACCAAAAGCCAAACUAUCCCAAGUGGAAACUCUCAUAAAUAAAUAAUCUCAUUUCGAAUAAUAUCACUUAAGUGGAAAAAUUCCCCUAUACACUAUCUUUCAGGGUAGUGUGUAACAAACGAGGUGUGUCACAUAGAGUCAUUAAAUUUUUUGGAAUAAAAUUUAUAUAUUUGGAAACUACAUAAAACGUUAAGUCACAAUCAUUAACAAUUAAAAAUAGCUAAAAUGCAUAUGAAAAAAUUACGAUACAAAACUCAUUUGAUUCUCGAAAUCUAAAAUUUGCAAAAUAAAUUAGGAUGGAACGUGUAAGAAACUAUUCAAAAAUAUGAGGAAUAUAAUUAUCUGAUGUUAAAAUAUAAGGGAUGUAUCUAUACUUAAUAGCUUGUUUGGCCAAGCUUCUAAAAUCAACUUAUUUUAAGAAGUGCUUUGCUCAAAAGUACUUUUUAAAAAAUUAAUUUCGGUGAAAAGUAGUUUAUAUUUGGCUAAUUAAUUUGAAAAGUAAUUUUGAGCAGUAAUUAGUGUUUUGCCUAGAAUAGACUAAUUUGUGUCGAGAAAAUAAAAUCAAGACCGAAAAUAUAACAAUAAUCGUAGUAUUCUAUUUCAAAUAUUUUAGUGUUACAAUCUCUAUGAUUGCUCUGAUUCUACUUUUCCAAUAUAAAUUCAAUGGCCUUUGAGCUUGAUCUUGAAUUGUAAUUUCAUUUAUCCGUCACGAACACUUUGAUUGUUGCCACGAAAUUUAUCCAACAAGUAUCCUUGAUCUUGAACGCCUUGUAUUUGAUUUGACUUCGUUCUUGAUCUUGAAUACUUGAUUUGUUCUUUGUUCUUGAGCUUGAAUUUGAUAGCUUGAAGCUUGAAACUUGUAGAGAAAUUUAUGGUAUUUGAUCCACGAGCUCUCUCUUGCUUUCUGUUAUAACUUCUGGUGUCUUUUCUGAGUUAAGAAGACCCCUAUUUAUAGUUGUGGAAUAGAGGAAAUGUGAUAAGAACAAACUCUUUCCGACCAAUUAAAUUAAAGUGUGAUAUGGGCACAUUUGAUUGGCUAGAACAUGUCACUUGCACACGUAGCACGGUUUUAUUGGCAUUUUAAUGUGACUUGACAUGCCUUAUCAUUGUGACACGUGUUAUAGUCCUAUUGGCUCUUCUAUUUGACAUGGCGUGCCACAUCAUUUGACACGUGGCAUCAAAAUGGGCCUCUUGAAAAAUGAUCUUUUGGGCUUAAUGAAAUGGGCUAAUCGCUUUAGCCUUAUAAAAUCGGCUAGCCCAAUGAAUUAAGAAUUAUUUAUUUAAUCUAUAUAUAUAUAUUGGACUUAAUUCAACUAUAUUGAUCCAUAAUAUUAAUUUGAACUAGUAUAUUUAUUAUAUAAUCCAAAAUAUUUAUUGAAUUUGAACUCAAUAAAUUUUAUAUGCCUAUAAAUGACCCAUACUUCAAGGUUUAUCGAGGUGUGAGCACGUGAAGCCCAAUGGUAAGAUUUGAAGUACCAUUGAGAUUAAAAAAAAAAUAUUCUUUUCAACAAAAUCCAUGUUGGACUUGAUCGCACACAUUUCCUUCGAUGUGAAGCAUGAAAUAUCAAAAUUGAAGCUCCUGUUUUAUAUUUUCAUGUAAAAUCCUCUAACAUAAUCACUUAGACCUUCUUAAUUAAGGAGAUAAACAACUUUGCAUGACAUAAUAUUUUCCUUUCCAAUUAGGAGAUCAACUUGGGACUGUGUUAAUCAACUUUGGAGAUUUGGCAGAUUUUGCAGACUUCAACCUAAACACCCACAAACUUAAAGAUUCAACGGACUUUGACAUUUCAACUUGAAAACUG